rnacentral:rRNA from 1 species
GACGAACGCUGGCGGCGUGCUUAACACAUGCAAGUCGAACGCUGAAGCCCUUCGGGGUGGAUGAGUGGCGAACGGGUGAGUAACACGUGGGUAAUCUGCCCUGCACUCUGGGAUAAGCCUUGGAAACGGGGUCUAAUACCGGAUAGGACACAUCGCCGCAUGGUGUGUGUGUGGAAAGUUCCGGCGGUGCAGGUUGAGCCCGCGGCCCAUCAGAUUGUUGGUGGGGUGAUGGCCUACCAAGGCGACGCCGGGUAGCCGGGCUGAGAGGGGGACCGGCGACAAUGGGACUGAGCCACAGCCAAGACUCCGACGGGAGGCAGCAGUGUGGAGUCUUGCGAAAUGGGCGAAAGCCUGCCGCAGCAACGCCGCGUGGAGGAUGACGACCUUCGGGUUGUAAACCUCUUUCGACCGGGACGAAGGAUUCGUUUGACGGUACCGGUAGAAGAAGCACCGGCUAACUACGUGCCAGCCGCCGCCGUAA